GCUGGCGUAGCUCAAUGGUAGAGCAGCUGACUUGUAAUCAGCAGGUUGCGGGUUCAAGUCCCAUCGCCAGCU
rnacentral:tRNA from 1 species